rnacentral:rRNA from 1 species
CCUACGGGGGGCAGCAGUAGGGAAUCUUUCACAAUGGGCGAAAGCCUGAUGGAGCAACGCCGCGUGCAGGAUGAAGGCCUUCGGGUUGUAAACUGCUUUUAUAAGCGAGAAAUAUGAUGGUAACUUAUGAAUAAGGCUCGGCUAACUACGUGCCAGCAGCCGCGGUCAUACGUAGGAUCCGAGCAUUAUCCGGAGUGACUGGGUGUAAAGAGUUGCGUAGGUGGCAUAAUAAGUAGCUAGUGAAAUCUGGUGGCUCAACCAUUCAGACUAUUAGCUAAACUGUUAAGCUCGAGACCGUUAGGGGUAACUGGAAUUUCUAGUGUAUGAGUGAAAUCCGUAGAUAUUAGAAGGAACACCAAUAGCGUAGGCAGGUUGCUGGGACGGUUCUGACACUAAGGCACGAAAGCGUAGGGAGCAAACGGGAUUAGAUACCCGAGUAGUC